rnacentral:rRNA from 1 species
GAGAGUUUGAUCCUGGCUCAGGAUGAACGCUAGCUACAGGCUUAACACAUGCAAGUCGAGGGGCAGCAUGGUCUUAGCUUGCUAAGGCCGAUGGCGACCGGCGCACGGGUGAGUAACGCGUAUCCAACCUGCCUUACACUCUUGGACAGCCUUCUGAAAGGGAGAUUAAUACAAGAUGUUAUCAUGAGUAAGCAUUUUCACAUGAUUAAAGGUUUACCGGUGUAAGAUGGGGAUGCGUUCCAUUAGAUAGUAGGCGGGGUAACGGCCCACCUAGUCUUCGAUGGAUAGGGGUUCUGAGAGGAAGGUCCCCCACAUUGGAACUGAGACACGGUCCAAACUCCUACGGGAGGCAGCAGUGAGGAAUAUUGGUCAAUGGACGAGAGUCUGAACCAGCCAAGUAGCGUGAAGGAUGAAGGUUCUAUGGAUUGUAAACUUCUUUUAUACGGGAAUAAACGAAUCCACGUGUGGAUUUUUGCAUGUACCGUAUGAAUAAGGAUCGGCUAACUCCGUGCCAGCAGCCGCGGUAAUACGGAGGAUCCGAGCGUUAUCCGGAUUUAUUGGGUUUAAAGGGAGCGUAGAUGGGUUGUUAAGUCAGUUGUGAAAGUUUGCGGCUCAACCGUAAAAUUGCAAUUGAUACUGGCAGUCUUGAGUACAGUUGAGGUAGGCGGAAUUCGUGGUGUAGCGGUGAAAUGCUUAGAUAUCACGAAGAACUCCGAUUGCGAAGGCAGCUUACUAACCUGUAACUGACAUUGAUGCUCGAAAGUGUGGGUAUCAAACAGGAUUAGAUACCCUGGUAGUCCACACGGUAAACGAUGAAUACUCGCUGUAGGCGAUAUACAGUCUGCGGCCAAGCGAAAGCAUUAAGUAUUCCACCUGGGGAGUACGCCGGCAACGGUGAAACUCAAAGGAAUUGACGGGGGCCCGCACAAGCGGAGGAACAUGUGGUUUAAUUCGAUGAUACGCGAGGAACCUUACCUGGGCUUAAAUUGCAACCGAAUAUGGCGGAAACGCUAUAGCUAGCAAUAGCGGUUGUGAAGGUGCUGCAUGGUUGUCGUCAGCUCGUGCCGUGAGGUGUCGGCUUAAGUGCCAUAACGAGCGCAACCCUUGCCGAUAGUUACUAACAGGUUAUGCUGAGGACUCUGUCGGGACUGCCAUCGUAAGAUGUGAGGAAGGUGGGGAUGACGUCAAAUCAGCACGGCCCUUACGUCCGGGGCUACACACGUGUUACAAUGGGGGGUACAGAGGGCUGCUACCACGCAAGUGGAUGCCAAUCCCAAAAACCUCUCUCAGUUCGGAUUGAAGUCUGCAACCCGACUUCAUGAAGCUGGAUUCGCUAGUAAUCGCGCAUCAGCCACGGCGCGGUGAAUACGUUCCCGGGCCUUGUACACACCGCCCGUCAAGCCAUGGGAGCCGGGGGUACCUGAAGUGCGUAACCGCAAGGAGCGCCCUAGGGUAAAACUGGUGACUGGGGCUAAGUCGUAACAAGGUAGCCG